rnacentral:lncRNA from 13 species
GCUACCUCCUCGCGAUUUCCCGCCCGCAACAGCUGAGCACUCUCUCUCCGCCCCCGUCACUGCCUAACAAAUCACUUUUUCUGCAAAACUCUUUGGGUCCACGAUAUUUCUUCAAAUGGAAGAGAAGUUUAGACACAGACCUGAAGAAAAGGAAGAUGAUGUGAAGACAGAGGGAGAAGAUGGCCAUCUAGAGGCCAAGGUGAGAGACUUGGAAAAAGAGAUCCACCCCCAUGGUCUUCAGAAGGAACCAAUCCAACUGAUGCCUUGAUUUUGGUCUUUUAGCCUCUAGAACUGUGAGAAAAUAAAAUUCUGUUGUUAAUCUAGUCUGUGGUACUU